AACGAACGCUGGCGGCAGGCCUAACACAUGCAAGUCGAGCGAACCCUUCGGGGUUAGCGGCGGACGGGUUAGUAACGCGUGGGAAUAUACCCUUUGGUACGGAAUAGCCUCGGGAAACUGAGAGUAAUACCGUAUGUGCCCUUCGGGGGAAAGAUUUAUCGCCAAAGGAUUAGCCCGCGUUGGAUUAGAUAGUUGGUGGGGUAAUGGCCUACCAAGUCUACGAUCCAUAGCUGGUUUGAGAGGAUGAUCAGCAACACUGGGACUGAGACACGGCCCAGACUCCUACGGGAGGCAGCAGUGGGGAAUCUUAGACAAUGGGCGCAAGCCUGAUCUAGCCAUGCCGCGUGGACAAUGAAGGCCUUAGGGUUGUAAAGUCCUUUCAGAUGGGAAGAUAAUGACGGUACCAUUAGAAGAAGCCCCGGCUAACUCCGUG
rnacentral:rRNA from 1 species